UACGGAGGGUGCGAGCGUUGUCCGGAAUCACUGGGCGUAAAGGGCGCGUAGGCGGCGCGGGGAGUCAACGGUGAAAGCUCGGCGCUCAACGCCGAGUCGGCCGUCGAUACUCCCGUGCUUGAGCACUGUAGAGGCAGGUGGAAUUCCGGGUGUAGCGGUGGAAUGCGUAGAGAUCCGGAAGAACACCGGUGGCGAAGGCGGCCUGCUGGGCAGUAGCUGACGCUGAGGCGCGACAGCGUGGGGAGCAAGCAGG
rnacentral:rRNA from 1 species